UAACAAGUUAGUAUAACAAAUACCCUUGACUUAGAAUCAAUUAAUAAGAAAUUCUUACUUGUUAU
rnacentral:tRNA from 1 species